GACGAACGCUGGCGGCGUGCCUAAUACAUGCAAGUAGAACGCAGUUGCGAACGUGUGAGUAACGUGUAGGUAACUGCCUCAUAGCGGGGGAUAACUAUUGGCAACGAUUGCUAAUACCUCAUCCUUUGAGAUGUACCUGCGUUGUAUUAGCUAGUUGGUGAGGUAAAGGCUCACCAAGGCGACGAUCCAUAGCCGACCGGAGAGGGUGAUCGGCCACACUGGGACGGAGACCCGGCCCAGAGUCCUACGGGAGGCAGCCGUAGGGAAUCUUCGGGAAUGGGCGGAAGUCUGAGCGAGCAACGCCGCGUGAGUGAGGAAGGUUUUCGGAUCGGAAAGCUCUGUUGUUAGAGAAGCGGUAACUAAACAGAAAGGGACGGCUAACUACGUGCCAGCAGCCGCGGUAAUUC
rnacentral:rRNA from 1 species